rnacentral:rRNA from 1 species
AGAUGGCGACCGGCGCACGGGUGAGUAACACGUAUCCAACCUGCCGAUAACUCGGGGAUAGCCUUUCGAAAGAAAGAUUAAUAUCCGAUAGCAUAUAUUUCCCGCAUGGGUUUUAUAUUAAAGAAAUUCGGUAUGAGAUGGGGAUGCGUUCCAUUAGCUUGUUGGGGGGGUAACGGCCCACCAAGACUACGAUGGAUAGGGGUUCUGAGAGGAAGGUCCCCCACAUUGGAACUGAGACACGGUCCAA